rnacentral:rRNA from 1 species
UACGUAGGGGGCUAGCGUUGUCCGGAAUCAUUGGGCGUAAGCGCGUGUAGGCGGUCCGGUAAGUCCGCUGUGAAAGUCAAAGGCUCAACCUUUGAAAGCCGAUGGAUACUGUAGAGCUAGAGUCCGGAAGAGGCGAGUGGAAUUCCUGGUGUAGCGGUGGAAUGCGCAGAUAUCAGGAGGAACACCAAUAGCGAAGGCAGCUCGCUGGGACGGUACUGACACUAAGGCGCGAAAGCGUGGGGAGCGAACAGG